rnacentral:rRNA from 1 species
GACGAACGCUGGCGGCGUGCUUAACACAUGCAAGUCGAGCGGUAAGGCCCUUUCGGGGGUACACGAGCGGCGAACGGGUGAGUAAUACGUGGGUGACCUGCCCUCAGCUCUGGGAUAAGCCUGGGAAACUGGGUCUAAUACCGGAUAUGACUCCAUGACGCAUGUUGUGGGGUGGAAAGCCUUGUGCGGCUGAGGAUGGGCCCGCGGCCUAUCAGCUUGUUGGUGGGGUGAGGCCUACCAAGGCGACGACGGGUAGCCGGCCUGAGAGGGCGACCGGCCACACUGGGACUGAGACACGGCCCAGACUCCUACGGGAGGCAGCAGUGGGGAAUCUUGCGCAAUGGGCGAAAGCCUGACGCAGCGACGCCGCGUGAGGGAUGAC